rnacentral:rRNA from 1 species
UACGUAGGGGGCGAGCGCUGUCCGGAUUCAUUGGGCGUAAAGAGCUCGUAGGCGGCUUGGCAAGUCGGGUGUGAAACCUCCAGGCUCAACCUGGAGACGCCACCCGAUACUGCCAUGGCUAGAGUCCGGUAGGGGACCACGGAAUUCCUGGUGUAGCGGUGAAAUGCGUAGAUAUCUGGAGGAACACCGGUGGCGAAGGCGACAUCCUGGACCGGUAUUGACGCUGAGGCGCGAAAGCCAGGGGAGCAAACGGG